CAUGGGUGGGACUUUGAGAAUGCCGUGAGGAAGUCUGCAUGAAAACUGCUCAGCAGAGAUUGAAAUAGAGCUUCAGCCACUGGAAUCUUUUUUUUCCCUCUGUUUCUGUAUGUCUGGCAUUUGGCUCAUGAGUGUUUUCUUACACGGGCAGGGUCAUGGGCUGGCUGAGAAGGGGGCUGAGUUUGUCUCCUGCUCUGUUUACAGAUGCAUUUGAACCGUGCAGCCGCUGGAUGUCUCUGGUGCUCCACUCUCAUGGAGCAGGACCCGCAUCUGGGAGAGAUAAAUGGGUCAGUGUGGGAGGCCAGCUGCUCACUGCUGCCCAGCUGACGGGGAUGAUGUGACACAGCUCUCCACACAAGGCAUUGGGAGACAGGGUAAGAAGUUGCUCUUCACAGAGUUCCUCCUUUGGCUCCUGUGGUGUAAAGCUACAUGUACCUCCUGCUACAUGGAAAAAUUGCAACAGAAUUAA
rnacentral:lncRNA from 12 species